CAGGAUGAACGCUAGCUACAGGCUUAACACAUGCAAGUCGAGGGGCAGCAUGUGGUUGCUUGCAACCAAUGAUGGCGACCGGCGCACGGGUGAGUAACGCGUAUCCAACCUUCCCCUAGUAGAGGAUAGCCCGGCGAAAGUCGGAUUAAUACUCUAUGUUCUUCAAUGCGGACAUCUAAGUUGAAGCAAAGAUUUAUCGCUAAGGGAUGGGGAUGCGUCUGAUUAGGUUGCAGGCGGGGUAACGGCCCACCUGGCCUACGAUCAGUAGGGGUUCUGAGAGGAAGGUCCCCCACACUGGUACUGAGACACGGACCAGACUCCUACGGGAGGCAGCAGUGAGGAAUAUUGGUCAAUGGGCGCGAGCCUGAACCAGCCAAGUAGCGUGCAAGGACGACUGCCCUAUGGGUUGUAAACUGCUUUUAUCAGGGAAUAAAGUGAGGCACGCGUGCCUUUUUGUAUGUACCUGAUGAAUAAGGACCGGCUAAUUCCGUGCCAGCCGCCGC
rnacentral:rRNA from 1 species